AUUCAGAAAGGUCUUUUAAGAUUGCCUGUUAGUGGCUAUGAUUGCUACAACAAUAAAUCCUGGGUCAGUAUUUUAGCUGCAAAACUAUUGAACCGGAAACUGCUUCUCUGUUAUGAGUGACGUACCUGGUCAAAUUUACAUAUGGUAGAUAAGUGGCUAUGCUUUUAUGAUUACGGUAAAUACUUAUUGCUUUUUUUCUCCACCUUCGUUCCUUUCCAGGUUUCUUUAGAUUAUUCACUUCGUUCUUAUUUGGAAUUCAUAUUUUUAGAGCCUAGGAUGAAGAUAUAUGUUCAAGGCACACUGGUUAGAAGUUGACCCUUGGCCAAAUCUCUUAAUAAUACUGCUCACCAUAAUGGGGAAAUAAUGGGCAAACAAGUCUGGCUUAUUCUUGGUCACUGUCAGAUAGAGUGGGAUGAGGCAAACUGUGGAAUAUUCUUAUACUGGCAUGGCCGUCUAAUAGAGGUCAGCAACAUUUUCUCAUCUAAAUGUGGAUGGUUGGGGAUUUUUUUUCUGAACAUUCUUGUUUAUUGCAUGCUUCCUCAUUUCCUUAUCAUCGUUAAGCUGCAACUUUAUGGGUGUAUCCUAUACGUCAUGCUUUAGUGGGAAUAAGUGAUAUUAGUGUGGGUUGGUCUCUAAAAAUAGUAGUAGAUGUCAUCGCAAUAUUUUCUUAUCAACAAAUAGGAGUUGAUGUUGAUGCGUGGGUGGCUAUGUGCAUAGAUACAUGGCAAAGUAUGGAACAGUGUUACCAAAUUGGCUAGUAUGAGAUUGGAUCUGUGUAUUCUAGUCACUGCUAACUAUUGUCAAUUUAGGCAAUAUGUACCACAUUCAUGUUUAAAUGUUCCUUUCUCAAUUCGCAGGGGGGGGUAAGGAAUCAGGUAAUGUGUAUGCCUGGGUUUGAAGGAACAUAAAAUAGAAUUGUUCACUGUUAUUUGGCCAAUAUAUCUCGUAGUUUGUAUAGAAUGGUUUCUGUUAAAGAGGGUUUAUGUUCUGAUUUUAAAGUUUGUAUGGAGCUUGUAAGAAAUAAAUUGAAAGAUGAGUUUCCUUUCAUUGACAAUAGUAGCCAAUGUAUCGGUUGUUCUCAAUAGAUUAUGUAAAUAGUCUUUAAUCUCUAUAUUAUCAUGUGUUCUCUACUUCUCUCUUAUUUAAAAAAAUUUCAUUGGUUUGAAUAUGUGCUUAAUGAUGAAACUUUGUUAUUAAAUCCCCUAAGGUAAUAACAUGUUACCUCUUCUAAUCUAGUGUAAUUAUAAUUUGGGAGAAAAAUUUGUUUUAACAAGAGAACGUGCCUGCUUUUGCAUGCUUUUUUUUAUCACAAGAAAGUGGUUGAUGGAUUAAACUAUUGAUCUACCUACUUAAAAGCUACUGUAAUUUAUAAGAUUUAUAAACUCGAGAAGGCCUACGGUUCGAGUCCGUAUAGCCCACCCCCGUGCUAUUGAUUGUUAUUUUUAAAGAACAUAAAGUUGCAGAUGAUUAUUACAAUGUAGCUUGUUAGGCUACCAAAUGUCAGUGAGUUAUAGGUCUUGAUAUACUGUAGAGUUAGUAUCUGGAAAUAAUCAGAUCAAUGGUAUCGACUGGUCAUCCAGUCCAAAUGGAGAUGAUUAUUGGUAGUGGUGGUAAUAAAUAUUGUUGCCUGUUUUACUUGUGGGAAUCGAUUAUUGUUAUCAACACUACUACAUUUUCGAUCAAAUACAACGCCAAAAAAUGAGCUAUUGCAACGCCCUAUCCAAAUGCCGUGGCAAUAGAUAGCCUAUUGCAACGGUAUUUUUAUUGCCGUUGCAAUAGAGUAGGCUAUUGCCACGGAGUUAAAACUAAUGCUCUUAAAGGUAGAGUUAUUGCCACGGCUCUAAAGAACCGUUGCAAUAGCCUAGAUAUUUUAACAAAAAUGAAAGCUAAUGCAACGGUAGUGUUGUAUCAUGAAAAUUUUAGCUAGGUUGAAGCGCGCAUUGUUCCCUCUAAUUUUUUCACCAAAAUUUUGAACAAACACGUGUUUACUUUUCUCACCCAUUUUCUCCCCUCAUUCUCACGGUACCCAUUCUCAUCCUAUUUCUCCAUUUCCUCAAUUUCCCCCAAUUCUCCAUUUUCUCAAUUUCCCCCAAUUCUCUAGUUUCCCCAUCAUCAUCUCACAUAAAUAAGCAAGGUAAACAAAAAUUCUGAGGCCGAUUUUGAGGUGAAAAUCACGAAAAAAAUCAUUCAAAAAUUCGAAGCAGAAGGCAACCAUCGCCGCAGCCGGCAACCACAUCCACAACCACCGUCGCUCACAAAAUUAAAUUCUCUCUUUCUUCUCCCUCCUCAUUCAAUGAUGGUCACGGUGGUGAUGGUGGUCGCGAGUGAUAAUGACGAUGUGGUUCGAUUUUUAGGGUUUUGAUUGGUGUUCAUGGUAUGAGCUUCUUUAAACUUUCCUCUUUAAAUUUCAAAUUUAGGGUUCCUUUGCACAAUUUAUAGUUCAAAUUUUUGAUUUUUUUCGAUUUCUAGGGUUUGGAAUUGUAACUGUUGGCGGUGGUGGAGAGCAACGAUGGUGAGUUUUGAUUUGUAAUUGAUGGCGGUGGUGGAGAGUUGCUGAGCUAACGUCGCUCAAACUCCAGCUUCGUGCCCUGAUCUAUGAGUAAGCUUUCUAUCUUUAUCUCUCUUUUUUCCUCUUUCUCGCUACUUUCUCUCCCCUUUCAAUUAUUGUUCCAAUUUCGACAAUUAUACACUUAAGAAGUUUUAAUCAAUUGACAAUUUAAUGUUAAUCAGGAACAUCAUCAUCGUCCAUGGUAGUUGGUGAGAGUGAUUUGCUAAUUGUUGGACCUGGUGUUCUUGGUCGCUUGGUAGCUCAACAAUGGAGUCAGGUUAAUUUCUUUCGUUUGGGAUUCUCGCCUUUAUGUUCUUGCCAGGUUCCUUCUUUUAUCUUUAAUUUCUGAUUUUUAGUAGAUUUUGUUAUAAAUUUUUUAUCAUAUUGUUAGUAUUUUGUUUGAUUAUUGAAAAAUUGGUAGAUUUUUAACUUGCAAAUAAGUGUACUUUUGGUUGUUUUGUUGGUUAUGGUAAUGCAAAUGUUAUGGUAUAGGUAAUGACAGUAGAUUACUAUAGUUGGUGUCAUAAUGUCUAGUAACUUGUGCUUAUAGACGAUUCAUGUUGGAAUUGGUUAAGGGCAUUGCGUUUCUUUUGGGCGCGAUAGAGCAAAAUAGUAUAUUAAUACUUCGGAAAUGAGCAUGGUUACUACUUAUUAGUACAUUACAAUUUGGAAAAGCUGAACUAUGUGUUUGGGGAAUGGGGUGCAAUGGGAUUGGGGUCUUGAUAAAAAAAUUUCGUAUGAGACAAGUGUGUUAUGUUUUGGAGUCAGGUAAAAUCGGUAUUUCUAUUGCAUUUUGGCUUGAUUAGUAAUACUUUGGUACCGAAUUGUGUACCGUACCCAAACUUGUUUUUUUUUUUUGUUUGGAUGAAAUUCAAAGUUUAUGUUGCUGCAGUGUUGUGUUUGUUUUUUAUAAUUGUAUUUGUGGUGUCGAGGUUGGGGUACUGGGGGAAGCAAGGAAUGGGGAGAAGGGAGGGCGGCUAGCAGUGGCCAAGGGGAAGGUGGGUGAGAGGAGUGGCUGGGCUUAUAAUUUUUUUUAAGUGUUUAUAAUUUGUUUUUUUUUUUUUUUUUUUUUUUUUUUUUUUGAGCUAGGCCCUAGGAAAAAGUUUACAGAUUUCUUUUAAGAAAAAAAUCAAAUGUCAUAAUUUGAAUUUUCAAAUUUAUUUGAACCUUGAAUAAAAUUGCCCAGAACUUUAUAACGUUCACCUAGUGUUCAUCGUAAUGUUUGAGUGGGAGUUAGGCCGUUGUAUAUUUGAUUUCUAUGGUAAAUUCCAAUGGUUUCAUUCUUUGUGUAGCUUUAUUGGGUAUAAACUUUCAUACAAGGCUGUGUAGCUUAAAUUGUCACCCUUUUGAGUGUAUGAUUGUUUCUGAUUUUCUGAACAUUGGUCUCUUUUAUGUAUCUAAGCUUCAAGAUAGGAUAACAAGGCACAAGUAUUACUAAUUUAUACUCCUUUGCUCUAAAAUAUCUAGAGAAAUUAUUAUUUUGAUGCUAUACACAUUUCUGCAGUUUAACAAUUUUUUGGUAUUUUUAUAUU